GGUGUUAUGGCUCAGCGGUAGAGCGCUCGCCUUGCAUGUGCGAGGCCCUGAGUUUGAUCCUCAGCACCA
rnacentral:tRNA from 1 species